GGACUCCUGGUGCGCACCACAGGCUGUAUUCUUUACAUGGACAAUAUAAAAAGAGGAGGCAGGGAGCUGGAGAUCG
rnacentral:snoRNA from 1 species